UGAGGAAUAUUGGUCAAUGGGCGAGAGCCUGAACCAGCCAAAUCGCGUGAAGGAAGACUGCCUUAUGGGUUGUAAACUUCUUUUAUACAGGAAUAAAAAAGGGGACGUGUCCCUUAUUGCAUGUACUGUAUGAAUAAGCAUCGGCUAACUCCGUGCCAGCAGCCGCGGUAAUACGGAGGAUGCGAGCGUUAUCCGGAUUUAUUGGGUUUAAAGGGUGCGCAGGCGGGCUUUUAAGUCAGCGGUGAAAUCUCGGGGCUUAACUCCGAAACUGCCGUUGAAACUGGGAGUCUUGAGUAUGGAUGAAGUAGGCGGAAUUCGUUGUGUAGCGGUGACAUGCUUAGAUAUAACGAGGAACUCCGAUUGCGUAGGCAGCUUACUAAGCCAUAACUGACGCUCAAGCACGAAAGCGUGGGGAUCAAAACAGGAUUAGAUACCCUGGUAGUCCACGCCGUAAACGAUGAUUACUAGUUGUAUGCGAUAUACCGUAUGUGACUAAGCGAAAGCGAUAAGUAAUCCACCUGGGGGAGUACGCCGGCAACGGUGAAACUCAAAGGAAUUGACGGGGUCAUAGCGUUUCCU
rnacentral:rRNA from 1 species